CGUAUCACCCAAGACAACUUUACGGAGUUGACGAUUGACGGAGCGAAGCGACGUCAAAGCGUUCAUUAAAGUCGAGUUGGCUUAGGGAUACGUUCGUUGGGUAGGGGAGCGUUCUGUAAGCCUGUGAAGGUGUGUCGUGAGGCAUGCUGGAGGUAUCAGAAGUGCGAAUGCUGACAUAAGUAACGAUAAAGCGGGUGAAAAGCCCGCUCGCCGGAAGACCAAGGGUUCCUGUCCAACGUUAAUCGGGGCAGGGUGAGUCGACCCCUAAGGCGAGGCCGAAAGGCGUAGUCGAUGGGAAACGGGUUAAUAUUCCCGUACUUGGUGUUACUGCGAAGGGGGGACGGAGAAGGCUAUGUUGGCCGGGCGACGGUUGUCCCGGUUUAAGCGUGUAGGUGUGUGUUCCAGGUAAAUCCGGUUCACUUUAACACUGAGGCGUGA
rnacentral:rRNA from 1 species